rnacentral:rRNA from 1 species
UGGGGAAUAUUGCACAAUGGGCGCAAGCCUGAUGCAGCAACGCCGCGUGAGGGACGACGGCCUUCGGGUUGUAAACCUCUUUUAGUAGGGAAGAAGCGAAAGUGACGGUACCUGCAGAAAAAGCGCCGGCUAACUACGUGCCAGCAGCCGCGGUAAUACGUAGGGCGCGAGCGUUAUCCGGAAUUAUUGGGCGUAAAGAGCUCGUAGGCGGUUUGUCACGUCUGCUGUGAAAACUGGAGGCUCAACCUCCAGCCUGCAGUGGGUACGGGCAGACUAGAGUGCGGUAGGGGAGAUUGGAAUUCCUGGUGUAGCGGUGGAAUGCGCAGAUAUCAGGAGGAACACCGAUGGCGAAGGCAGAUCUCUGGGCCGUAACUGACGCUGAGGAGCGAAAGCAUGGGGAGCGAACAGG